GAUGAAGAACGUAGCGAAAUGCGAUACUUGGUGUGAAUUGCAGAAUCCCGUGAACCAUCGAGUCUUUGAACGCAAGUUGCGCCCGAAGCCAUUAGGCCGAGGGCACGCCUGCCUGGGCGUCACACGUCGUUGCCCCCCCAUCUACUCCUUCGGGAUUGCGGGGGGCGGAUGAUGGCCUCCCGUGCGCCUCGUCGCGCGGUUGGCAUAAAUGCCAAGUCCUCGGCGACGCACGCCACGACAAUCGGUGGUUGCGAAACCUCGGUUGCCGGUCGUGUGCGGUCGUCGCGCAUCGAGGGCUCGAAAAAAUUGCCGGGCUCCGGCUCGGCUUUCAAUGCGACCCCAGGUCAGGCGGGGUUACCCGCUGAAUUUAAGCAUAUCAAUAAGCGGAGGA
rnacentral:misc_RNA from 1 species